rnacentral:lncRNA from 1 species
UUUCCACUCUCCAUCCCUGCAUACUGCUGAGGCCGUAACGCAAGCCAUUCCCUGCACCAUGAGCAUUAUGUUUUUCAGUUUUUGGCUUAUCCAAAAAUGCACCCAUGUUUAUGCAAUAUUGAAUCUGUAAUCACAACCUUGCCAAGGUUCUAGUUCAGUGUUGAAAGAAUUAGUUUACAUUCCUGCUGCCAAGGAACACAUAACAGAAUGACUUGCAAAACCUUGAGAUAACAGUACGGGACACAACAUCUGCUUUAUUUUGGUAUUUCCUGUCGGCGAAGGAGCGCCGGCGUCCCCCGGCGUUCGGGCGCCGGGCGGCCCGGCUAGGUCCCGACCCGCCUUAGGUCGGCUCGGGUUAGCCCGGCUAGGCCUCAGGCCUGAGCCGCCCCGCGCUGGCCGCCGCCGGCCGCAGUCGCCGCCCGCUCGCGCACUCCGAGCGCCGCCAGCAGCGCCGACAUGUUGGGAGCCCCCGUCCCGAAGGCCGCCGCCG